rnacentral:rRNA from 1 species
UACGUAGGUGGCAAGCGUUGUCCGGAUUUACUGGGCGUAAAGAGCGCGCAGGCGGUCGUUCAAGUCGCGUGUGAAAGCCCCCGGCUCAACUGGGGAGGGUCACGCGAUACUGAUCGACUGGAAGGCAGGAGAGGGUAGUGGAAUUCCAGGUGUAGCGGUGAAAUGCGUAGAUAUCUGGAGGAACGCCGGUGGCGAAGGCGGCAUCCUGGACCGGCAUUGACGCUGAGGAGCGAAAGCCAGGGGAGCAAACGGG